AAAAAGGCUAGGUCAGGCUUCGGCCUGACCAAAAUUCAAGCUGCUAUACCUCUGGCUGCAUUGACUUGUGGUCAGAGUGUAUGGUGAUCAUAGCAAUUGCAAGUAUGGGCUCGAUAAAUCCUUUGAAGACGACUUAAUUGCAUCCGGGUAUUGUAAGUGUUGAGAGUAGGCUUAGUCUUACGAUCCACUGAGAUUCAUCCCGUGUUGCGCCGAUUUGU
rnacentral:ncRNA from 1 species